rnacentral:rRNA from 1 species
CCUACGGGUGGCAGCAGUGGGGGAUAUUGCACAAUGGGGGAAACCCUGAUGCAGCGACGCCGCGUGGGUGAAGAAGCGCCUCGGCGCGUAAAGCCCUGUCAGCAGGGAAGAAAAUGACGGUAACUGAAGAAGAAGCCCCGGCUAACUACGUGCAAGCAGCCGCGGUAAUACGUAGGGGGCAAGCGUUAUCCGGAUUUACUGGGUGUAAAGGCGGCGCAGACGGCGAUGCAAGCCAGGAGUGAAAGCCCGGGGCCCAACCCCGGGACUGCUCUUGGAACUGCGUGGCUAGAGUGCAGGAGGGGCAGGCGGAAUUGCUGGUGUAGCGGUGAAAUGCGUAGAUAUCAGGAGGAACACCGGUGGCGAAGGCGGCCUGCUGGACUGCAACUGACGUUGAGGCCCGAAAGCGUGGGGAGCAAACAGGAUUAGAUACCCGGGUAGUC